UAUUCUCGCUGUUCAAUUUCUCCGCCAUCCCAACUGGCUCCAAUUCUUCUUUCCUCUUUGCUCAUCUUCGCUGAUUUAUACGUCAAAUUAGAUAUAUCAGAUUGAGCCUGACAAAGACAAAGCUCAAAAAGGAGAUGGCAUAGCUAAUUUUCCUUUUAUUCAAACUCUCAUUCAGCUGCUAAGGCGCUUUAUUGAUCAUGUGCUGUCAGUAAUCAAAUUAUUUAGAAAUGUCAGAAAGUGAAAUUGUACCAACACUGGACGAGCAGUGAUUUGUUGGAAACUCGAAUCACGGAAUUUAAAAAUAAAAUCUACAGAAAUUACAAAAAAGAAUCAGGAUGGGCGGUGACACAAGUCUACAGGAGAACAUCGUAGCCGCGGCAUGUGUUAUUCUGGUCGUAGUUUUCAUCGUUUUUCUCUUAAUUGUGGCUCGGGCCAUAAUUGUUAAGUGGCCCAGACUGUCCCAGGAGGAAUUUUUAGAGGUGGAGCCCAUAAACCAACAAAUGGACGUGUGGUCAGUACAGCAGUCGGAACCCUGUGAUCCGGCAAGCCCAGAAACUGAGGAAUUUAUCAAAUGAGGGACUGCUUAGUGAUAAUGUAUCUGUUUCUUUAAAAUCAAAAUAUUGAAUUUUCUUAAUAGUUGACAUACUGUCAAUAAAAAUCGAAUGUAA